UGAAAAAUUGUAAUGUCAGUGCUUGUAUACACCUCUGUAACAGUUCACUUGAAAAUAAUCAUAAACCCCUAACAAACAAAUCCUGCACCCUUGAUACUUGUAAUGUGAAACUGGGGCUAUCUUUACUGGCUUGCUGGAAUGUGUAUAAUCUCUUUUGAUUGGUUGGAAGCCAAAUUUGAACGAGUAAACAUAGAUCCAUGCAGGACCUGAAAUGUUGUUUCAAAGCAAUGUUGGGACUUUUGAAGUUUUAACAAUUUCCUGAAAUAAUUUGAUGGACAUUCUUAAACAAUUAAUUAGAAUGUGGAAAUCAACAUUUUGUGUGUUAACAAGUCUCUAAAAGAGGAAUUCAGUGAGUUAUGAAGCGGCCCUUUUGGAAAUGCUUUGAACUGUUAAACAGCGAUUUUCAAAAAAGAUUGUGAAGCAACUUACCCAUGACAACGACCUCAGAAGUGCAGUCACAGAGUAAUGGUGCUGUUAUCACUUAAAAGCAACCAUCAAAAAAGAUUGUGUAGCAACUUUCCCCUGACAACAACCACUGGCUCAGUUAAGUGCAGUCACAGAGUGAUGGUACCUCACCAGGGUCAAGUUCAGGCAAAUGAAGAUCUCUAAAAUGGAUUUUCAUCUCAAUAUAAUAACUGUAAUUUCUUAAAACAUAAACUUACUUUAUUUACUGUGUUUUUAUGUCAUAUAACAGUGAUACAAUAAUGUGUGUUGUAUAUAGGAAUUUAUUUCUUAACGGGAUGUGUAAGAGUAAAUUAUUUUAUUUUA